CCCAUCAUCUGCAAAUCCUUUUCCAAAAUUAAACCACCAAUCAACCUUUAAUUCCAAUUAAUUGAGAAUCAAUUACCACAAAUUCUCUUAUAAAUCUUAGUCUUUCUACCCUAAUCUACCACGCCGCUUCCACAAUUCCUUCCCAAAUCAAGUUCCACCCCUGCAAGAAUUCACAAGAACAAGGCUGCCUUUCUUCCUAUUCCAGUCGGAACAGAUUCAAGAAACCAAGAGCUAAAGAGAGGGAGUUUUAUUUGUUCUCUCGCAAUCUGCCAAAUCUAAGGUGAAUCAUUGCAAGUGAAACGUGAUACAAAGGGGAAGAAAGUGCUUGAGGAUUAAGCAGUCGAGGUUGAGCGGCGACGAGCAAUUGGUGGUGUUCAGCAACUUAAAAUUGAAGCAUUGUUUGGUUAGUUGUGAACUACGAGUGUCGUUGUGUAUCCACACAUGACGUCACUCUUUCUCUUGAACGCUUCCGCUGAGACAUUGUUUUUACUCAUCAUUCAUUUAGCUUUGAACCUAACUAUUUGGAUAAUGUCAACCUCUUGACCUUUUUUUUCUAAAUAUUAAUUAUUGGUCAAACUCUUUAUUGAAACCCUUGUUUCCUUUUCUGUUUAUUAAGUUCUUUUAUUCACGAU